GACUGUAGCUCAAUUGGAUAGAGCGUUGGCCUCCGAAGCCGAAGGUUGUGGGUUCGAACCCCGUCAGUCG
rnacentral:tRNA from 1 species